rnacentral:rRNA from 1 species
AUUGAACGCUGGCGGCAUGCCUUACACAUGCAAGUCGAACGGCAGCACGGGUGCUUGCACCUGGUGGCGAGUGGCGAACGGGUGAGUAAUACAUCGGAACGUACCUUAUCGUGGGGGAUAACGCAGCGAAAGCUGUGCUAAUACCGCAUACGCCCUGAGGGGGAAAGCGGGGGAUCGCAAGACCUCGCGCGAUUAGAGCGGCCGAUGCCUGAUUAGCUUGUUGGUGGGGUAAAAGCCCACCAAGGCGACGAUCAGUAGCUGGUCUGAGAGGACGAGCAGCCACACUGGGACGGAGACACGGCCCAGACUCCAACGGGAGGCAGCAGUGGGGAAUUUUGGACAAUGGGGGCAACCCUGAUCCAGCAAUGCCGCGUGAGUGAAGAAGGCCUUCGGGUUGUAAAGCUCUUUUGUCAGGGAAGAAACACCGGCUCUAACACAGUCCGGGAAUGACGGUACCUGAAGAAUAAGCACCGGCUAACUACGUGCCAGCAGCCGCCGUAA